rnacentral:rRNA from 1 species
CAAUAGCGUAUAUUUAAGUUGUUGCAGUUAAAAAGCUCGUAGUCGGAUUUUGGCUGAGAACGAUCGGUCCGCCGUUAGGUGUGCACUGAUUGGUCUCAGCUUCCUGGUGAGGAGGUGUGCUUCACGGCCACUUAGUCACCGUGGUUACUUUGAAAAAAUUAGAGUGUUCAAAGCGGGCUUACGCUUGAAUAUAUUAGCAUGGAAUAACACCAUAGGACUCCUGUCCUAUUUCGUUGGUCUCGGGACGGGAGUAAUGAUUAAGAGGAACAGUUGGGGGCAUUCGUAUUUCAUUGUCAGAGGUGAAAUUCUUGGAUUUACGAAAGACGAACUUCUGCGAAAGCAUUUGCCAAGGAUGUUUUCAUUGA